rnacentral:rRNA from 1 species
AGUGAACGCUGGCGGUAGGCCUAACACAUGCAAGUCGAACGGCAGCACAGUAAGAGCUUGCUCUUACGGGUGGCGAGUGGCGGACGGGUGAGGAAUACAUCGGAAUCUACUUUUUCGUGGGGGAUAACGUAGGGAAACUUACGCUAAUACCGCAUACGACCUACGGGUGAAAGCAGGGGAUCUUCGGACCUUGCGCGUUUGAAUGAGCCGAUGUCGGAUUAGCUAGUUGGCGGGGUAAAGGCCCACCAAGGCGACGAUCCGUAGCUGGUCUGAGAGGAUGAUCAGCCACACUGGAACUGAGACACGGUCCAGACUCCUACGGGAGGCAGCAGUGGGGAAUAUUGGACAAUGGGCGCAAGCCUGAUCCAGCCAUGCCGCGUGGGUGAAGAAGGCCUUCGGGUUGUAAAGCCCUUUUGUUGGGAAAGAAAAGCAGCAGGUUAAUACCCCGCUGUUCUGACGGUACCCAAAGAAUAAGCACCGGCUAACUUCGUG